CUCGACUCUUCUCGGCCCUGCUCCGUUUUCCAUUGCAGACAGUACCCAGAGAUAGCCCUUGGAUCUAAAACCCCUUCAUCUUACUCCAGAGUGUUUCCAGUUUUGGAGAAAAUGCGGACAAAGAAGUCUCCAGGCUGGUUGGGUUUGAAGGUGGACGCGACGAUCAUGUAGUUACCCGGUUCCAGACGUAGCUUCCUCCACACACCCCUAAGGGACAAAGUUAAUGAGUUAUAUUUAUUGACUUCCAACAAGCUACCAGUCAUAUAACUUUCAAUGAUCAACUAAAAGCAUUAGAUCCAAGAAAUGUUCUGUAUACAAUACAUGUUUUAUAUACUCUGUGUAGACAAUACUAUUCCUGUGUUUAAAAGCUGCAACCACGAGGACCAUGUACAACAGUACUUAAUGUUAAUUAAAUAUGUUUUAUGGAUUGUC